GAUGAACGCUAGCUACAGGCUUAACACAUGCAAGUCGAGGGGCAGCAUUAUCGAAGCUUGCUUUGAUAGAUGGCGACCGGCGCACGGGUGAGUAACGCGUAUCCAACCUUCCCCAUAGUCAGGAAUAGCCCGGCGAAAGUCGAAUUAAUGCCUGAUGUUUUCCACGGACGGCAUCUGAUGUGGAACAAAGAUUCAUCGCUAUGGGAUGGGGAUGCGUCUGAUUAGCUUGUUGGCGGGGUAACGGCCCACCAAGGCAACGAUCAGUAGGGGGUUCUGAGAGGAAGGUCCCCCCACAUUGGAACUGAGACACGGUCCAAAACUCCUACGGGAGGCAGCAGUGAGGAAUAUUGGUCAAUGGGCGAGAGCCUGAACCAGCCAAGUAGCGUGCAGGACGACGGCCCUAUGGGUUGUAAACUGCUUUUAUAAGGGAAUAAAGUGAGUCUCGUGAGACUUUUUGCAUGUACCUUAUGAAUAAGGACCGGCUAAUUCCGUGCCAG
rnacentral:rRNA from 1 species